AGAGUUUGAUCCUGGCUCAGGAUGAACGCUGGCGGCAUGCCUAAUACAUGCAAGUCGAACGAGAGGAAGGAAAGCUUGCUUUUCUGAAUCUAGUGGCGAACGGGUGAGUAACACGUAGGUAACCUGCCCAUGUGCCCGGGAUAACUUCUGGAAACGGAUGCUAAAACCGGAUAGGUAGCAGACAAGCAUUUGACUGCUAUUAAAGUGGCUAAGGCCAUGAACAUGGAUGGACCUGCGGUGCAUUAGCUAGUUGGUGAGGUAACGGCCCACCAAGGCGACGAUGCAUAGCCGGCCUGAGAGGGCGGACGGCCACAUUGGGACUGAGACACGGCCCAAACUCCUACGGGAGGCAGCAGUAGGGAAUUUUCGUCAAUGGGGGGAACCCUGAACGAGCAAUGCCGCGUGAGUGAAGAAGGUCUUCGGAUCGUAAAGCUCUGUUGUAAGAGAAAAACGACAUUCAUAGGGAAUGAUGAGUGAGUGAUGGUAUCUUACCAGAAAGUCACGGCUAACUACGUGCCAGCAGCCGCGGUAAUACGUAGGUGGCGAGCGUUAUCCGGAAUCAUUGGGCGUAAAGAGGGAGCAGGCGGCCGCAAGGGUCUGUGGUGAAAGACCGAAGCUAAACUUCGGUAAGCCAUGGAAACCGGGCGGCUAGAGUGCGGAAGAGGAUCGUGGAAUUCCAUGUGUAGCGGUGAAAUGCGUAGAUAUAUGGAGGAACACCAGUGGCGAAGGCGACGGUCUGGGCCGCAACUGACGCUCAUUCCCGAAAGCGUGGGGAGCAAAUAGGAUUAGAUACCCUAGUAGUCCACGCCGUAAACGAUGAGAACUAGGUGUUGGGGGAAUAACUCAGUGCCGCAGUUAACGCAAUAAGUUCUCCGCCUGGGGAGUAUGCACGCAAGUGUGAAACUCAAAGGAAUUGACGGGGGCCCGCACAAGCGGUGGAGUAUGUGGUUUAAUUCGACGCAACGCGAAGAACCUUACCAGGUCUUGACAUCCAACUAACGAAGCAGAGAUGCAUUAGGUGCCCUUCGGGGAAAGUUGAGACAGGUGGUGCAUGGUUGUCGUCAGCUCGUGUCGUGAGAUGUUGGGUUAAGU
rnacentral:rRNA from 1 species